UACGAAGGGGGCUAGCGUUGCUCGGAAUCACUGGGCGUAAAGGGUGCGUAGGCGGGUCUUUAGGUCAGGGGUGAAAUCCUGGAGCUCAACUCCAGAACUGCCUUUGAUACUGAAGAUCUCGAGUCCGGGAGAGGUGAGUGGAACUGCGAGUGUAGAGGUGAAAUUCGUAGAUAUUCGCAAGAACACCAGUGGCGAAGGCGGCUCACUGGCCCGGUACUGACGCUGAGGUGCGAAAGCGUGGGGAGCAAACAGG
rnacentral:rRNA from 1 species